ACACACCCACACACACACACACACACACACACACACACACACACACACACACACACACACACACACACACACACACACACACAGGCAUCCAAACAUACCGACACAAAUCACUCCGAUUACAAUGUUAAACUGUGUGCGUGUUUAAGUAAGCAUUUAUUUGCCUUUUGGCUUUUCUACUUAAAUGACAUGUAAUCAAUCCGUGAGAUUUAAGGGUUAAGUGUGUGACCGUGUUUGAUCCUGUGAUUUGUAUGUGUGUUUGUGGUGUGGUUAAAAUAUGUUAAUGUUUAUGAUAAUUUAUCAUGCUAUAUGUCAUCUAAAUGUGUAAAAAGUUGUGUUUUUUGUGUAUAUAUACAUAUAUAUACAUAUACAUACAUAUGUGUGUGUGUGUGUGUGUGUGUGUGUGUGUGUGUGUGUGUG